GAUGAACGCUGGCGGCGUGCCUAAUACAUGCAAGUCGAGCGAACGGACGAGAAGCUUGCUUCUCUGAUGUUAGCGGCGGACGGGUGAGUAACACGUGGAUAACCUACCUAUAAGACUGGGAUAACUUCGGGAAACAGGUGCCAAUACUGGAUGAUAUUUCGAACCGCAUGGUUCAAAAGUGAAAGACGGUCUUGCUGUUACUUAUAGAUGGAUCCGCGCUGCAUUAGCUAGUUGGUAAGGUAACGGCUUACCAAGGCAACGAUGCAUAGCCGACCUGAGAGGAUGAUCGGCCACACUGGAACUGAGACACGGUCCAGACUCCUACGGGAGGCAGCAGUAGGGAAUCUUCCGCAAUGGGCGAAAGCCUGACGGAGCAACGCCGCGUGAGUGAUGAAGGUCUUCGGAUUGUAAAACUCUGUUAUUAGGGAAGAACAUAUGUGUAAGUAACUGCCCACAUCUUGACGGUACCUAAUCAGAAAGCCACGGCUAACUUCGUG
rnacentral:rRNA from 1 species